rnacentral:lncRNA from 1 species
CAAAAAGUUAUUAAGAAGGUAAACAAACAUUUUAUUUAAAAUUACUCUCUCCAACUGCUGUAGUUGGAGCUGCAACUAAUUUGGGCGCAGUUUUAGCUACUGCAAUUGAGUCUCCUUGUGCAGUUUCAAUUGCAGCAGUUGAAUCAAAUACAUCGAACUAAACAUGAGAUUUGAAUCUACAUGCAGUUGCAAUUACGCACAACCAAGCAGCCCCUUACUUUCUCUGACAGUUUAAGUUAGUACUAGAGAGAGAGUAGGUCUUGCGUAAUAUUAGGAGCACGGAGAUCUCCGUGCUUCUAAUCAUUUUUUACGAUAAUGGAGUUUUCGAAUCGACGAUCAGUUCCGUUAGACUUGAUCUAGCGUAUUUGAAGUAUAUAGAAAAUAAUUCUUGUAAUUUUUUUAUAUUAUUUACCUAGCAAUAGAAAGGGUUCAAAAUCAAUAAUUUUUAAUGAUUGAUAUGUAUUGUUAAUUUGCAAGUUUAACAGUAUAGAAAUAUUCAAAUCGGAUGAAAUUUCGACAUAAAUUUUUUUAUACAAUCUACUACAAGAUUAUUAUCUGUGAUCGAAAAUUUUAAUGCUAUAUCACCACUUUUUGUGAGAUUUUUAUUUUCAGCUAUUGAUUUUGAACUCUUUCAAUCGCUAGGUAAAUAAUAUCGAAAAAUUACAAAAUUUAUUUUUUAGCUAAUUCUAAUACGUUAAAUCAAGUCUUACGGAGCCGAUCGUCGAUUCGGUCACACAAGACCACUCUUAGAGAUCAAAAUAUCUUACAUUAUUUAACGUAAUACAAAGCUGAGGUUCUUAGUUUGAGUCUCGUCGGACUCCUAGUUUUGGAAAGAAAAACUUCAGUGGGGAGCUCUCCAGCAAAGCCUCGUUGAGGAGCUCUCGAUU